rnacentral:lncRNA from 1 species
AUGAAAAUCCUCCACAGCCAUGGUUUAGUGGUCCAACCUGACUCUGGCUUUGUGUUCUUUGUGGCUGAAGUAAUGCUCGACAAGGAGUUCCUGGUGUCCAGAGACAGGGAGAGGAAGCUGCUGAAUAAUCUGGAAGUUGCGACCGCUCAGCUCCACCACCAGGAGCAGCUGAACAUGGAGCUCAGGAUGAAACAGGACCAACUCAUCGGCAGGAUCCACCAGCAACAGGACCUGGUGGACUUGCUGCAGCAGCGUGUGGUCCUGCUGGCAGAGGAGAGCUCCCGGGACGAGCAGCUGCUGCAGCAGGUCGGCUCAGAGCUGCUGUGUCUGCAGAGCUCCGAGGUGAAGCUGGAGAGCCUGGUGGAGGAGCUGCAUGCUGAGGCCCAUCACAGAGCUGUGGUGGCAGAGAGCCUCCAGGCAGAGCUACGCGCUGAGGCCCAGCACAGAGCUGUGCUGACGGAGAGCCUGGAGAUAGAGCUCCACAGUAAGACGAUGGAGCUGGAGGAGCAACAAGACACCAACAAAAUGCUGAUGCAGGAGCUGAAGGAUUUACGCUCUGCUCAUCAGAAGGAGGUGAGGGAGCUGCAGCAGGAGAACGAGGGGAGUCUGAGGAAACUGCAGGAGACAGCAGAGCAGUUUGAGUGGCUCUGUCAGCAGCAGCGCUACUGGAUGUGCUGUGUCAAGAGAUUCAAAGACUGCCUGAUGGAGGAGAGAGAAGCUCUGCUGCGACAGGUCAUCAUGCUGGAGAAGAAGGCUGAGAAACUGAAGAAGAGUUUACACGAUGACAGUCCCCCAAAGAGCGUCCUCUGUCCCCUCCAGGACACUCAGUGCUGUGACAGUAUAACAUCGUGGGAUGCAGAUGCAGAGGCUGACCUCGAGUCUCAAGUGAAGAAGUCAAACACACUGUACGAGGAGCUCUUUAACCAGGCAGGGAGCCCUAUCAACGGAUACCAAAAACCUCCUUGAGGACAGAAGCCUGGAGCCAGGACUCGUCUACUUUUUCUCUUCCCACCUUCUGCAAAUCAGAGGAUAACUACUAGAUGUUUGUGUAUGUGUGGUUGGCUUUGUGGAAUACUUCCCAGUCAUUGUCAAGAAAGAAAGAAAACUUGGAAAAACAUACCUGUGAAAGCAUACAUUCAUUGUUUUUCUUCCACUAUUGUUCACCUGUCUUGAAAAUAAUCUGCUGUCACAAUAUAUGACUGAAUUAAACACUGUAAGUCUGCUCCUGUCCUCCUUUUGCUGUGACACAUGCGCAUCACAUGUGUUCCUAAAGUCAAAUUUUCCUGUAAUUGUCCGUUAUUCAGACCUUGUAAUCCACACCACUAACAAGAGCAAAAGCACCUGAGAAUGCUCUCUUUUGUUGUUUUGCCAAUGAAUCCUCACAGGGGAAGCAGCAGCUGGCGUGCAGAGGAAACAACAAAAGUGUUGUUUAGACCAAAAUGAAGCCCUACUGAUUGUUCCCCCAUUGAGGAUCUGGUACAUUUCGACCCUCAUGAUCAGAUCUCUUCACUUAUCACUUGGCUUUCACUUGUCAGCAAGAAUCUAAAAAGCAUGUGAGGCUCCAUCGCUGUGAACCAUAUGAUGCACACAUGGUGCAAAGGCAACAACAGUUUACAGACAAAGCAAUUGUUUGGGGUAAGCAUGUUGCACGACAUAUGAGCUGCUUAAUCAAUACACCGUGGCUGCGCAUGUUUGGGUGUUGUUGCAUCCAACAGUGAGUUAAAUUUAGUGGUUCUUGAGGAAGUGGCAAUUAAAUGUUGGACUCAGCACUAAAUGCAUUAAACAAAACCGCCAUGUUGCAUCAUAGAUCUUCGUCAGACAUCUAACUAUAAAGCAAGAAUCGAGAACCGUUAAUCCGUUCAACCUUUUUCUGAGGACUGAAGGGGGAACAGUGUCGAGUCUAAAGUUGAUCAGAUGAGUGGUUCUCGACAACGCUGCAAGCAAUCAGGCCGCUCCGAACAGGCACUGCACUAAUUGCAGUCUUGAUAUGUUGCAAUCCUCCAAUGACUUCCUUUUAAUGUGUCUCAUUCAUAUUCAUAUGACUGCAUUUUAUAGACUACAAGAUAUGUUGAUUGAUCUUUCAAAGUUUAAAAGUUAUAUUCAUAUACAACUAAUUUGCAUAAGUUUUAUGAAUGUUUCUUGCACACAAGUCUUAUUGAUUAAAUAGGAUAAAAAAGCAAAUACCACACACUGUUAAUCACUUGUACUCACUUGCCAGUGUCAUUCCACAUCAUUAAUAAAGCAAGUACAAGUGACUAAAAGUAUGUGGGAUUGCCUUCCAACUCUUGAAAAACAUGAAAAGCUGUGUGGUUUGUCUGUUCUAGAGUACUGUAGAAACAUAGAGGUGAAACAUGGCAGAUUCUUAUUUUCAAUUAUACACUAAUGAAAUCAUACCUAUGAAUAUUUGAUUCCUUUUCUGCAAAUAGAGCCUGGUACAUG